rnacentral:piRNA from 1 species
UCCUAGCUACCGGUGGCUUCUGCGGCCAAAA